rnacentral:rRNA from 1 species
AGAGUUUGAUCCUGGCUCAGAACGAACGCUGGCGGCAGGCCUAACACAUGCAAGUCGAACGAGAAGCCACCUUCGGGUGGUGGACAGUGGCAGACGGGUGAGUAACGCGUGGAAACGUGCCUUUCGGUUCGGGAUAACCCAGGGAAACUUGGGCUAAUACCGGAUACGCCCUUCGGGGGAAAGAUUCAUUGCCGAAAGAUCGGCCCGCGUCGGAUUAGCUAGUUGGUGGGGUAAAAGCCUACCAAGGCGACGAUCCGUAGCUGGUCUGAGAGGAUGACCAGCCACACUGGGACUGAGACACGGCCCAGACUCCUACGGGAGGCAGCAGUGGGGAAUAUUGGACAAUGGGCGCAAGCCUGAUCCAGCCAUGCCGCGUGGGUGAAGAAGGCCUUAGGGUUGUAAACCCCUUUCAGCGGGGAAGAUAAUGACGGUACCCGCAGAAGAUC